rnacentral:rRNA from 1 species
ACAUGCUUACAACAUAGCAUUAAUGCACCGGAUCCCAUUAGAACUCCACAAUCAAGCACACUUGGUCUAGAGUAGUACUGGGAUGGGUGACCUCCCAAGAAGUCUUAGUAUUUUACAUGCU